rnacentral:rRNA from 1 species
UACGGAGGGUGCAAGCGUUGUCCGGAAUCACUGGGCGUAAAGGGCGCGUAGGCGGCUCAUGAAGGCUGUGGUGAAAGUCCGGGGCUCAACCUCGGAUCGGCCGUGGCGACUCGUGGGCUGGAGCACUGUAGAGGCGGGUGGAAUUCCGGGUGUAGCGGUGGAAUGCGUAGAGAUCCGGAAGAACACCAGUGGCGAAGGCGGCCCGCUGGGCAGUGGCUGACGCUGAGGCGCGAAAGCGUAGGUAGCAAACAGG